AUGGCCUGGACUCCUCUGCUCCUCGCGCUCCUCUCUCUCUGCACAGGGUCCCUCUCCCAGCCUGUGCUGACCCAGCCGCCCUCCCUCUCUGCAUCUCUGGGAGCCACAGCCCGUGUCACCUGCACCCUGAGCAGUGGCUCCAAUGUUGGUGAUUACUGGAUAUACUGGUUUCAGCAGAAGCCAUGGAGCCCUCCCCGGUAUCUCCUGUGCUACUACUCAGACUCAAAAAAGUACCAGGGCUCCGGGGUCCCCAGCCGCUUCUCUGGAUCCAAAGACGCCUCGGCCAAUGCGGGGCUCCUGCUCAUCUCGGGGCUGCAGCCUGAGGACGAGGCUGACUAUUACUGUAACACAUGGGACAGCAGCUCUAAGAGUUACACAGUGGUCCAGACCCACAGGGAAGCUGGAGGGCCUCCCCGAGUUACCAUGGCUGCUCACCUGGCCUUGGAGACGCCCCUGAGCGAGUUCCUGGAAACUCACCCCCAUCGUGACCUGAACAGCCCCCAUGAGCCCCGCCAGCCGGAUCGACGCCUCAUCACGUGUGAGGUGGGAUCAGAGCUCACUGGGCACGAACUUGGCAGCAUCUUCCUGGACUGA